ACGCCACAGUCGGCAGCGCCACCGCGGGGCACAGGAAGACUGCCAUCGUCGCCCAUGGCCAGUGCCUGGCCACCGCUGGCUUGGCCACUGCGUGCUCGCCGCCCAAUCCUGACCAAUGGGUUGCCUGCAGCGUCACGUUAAAUCCACCUGCAACUGUAGUUCUUCCUCCUCCCUCUGUCCUUAGCGCAGAAGCAUCACCCUAUCUUCUUCCUCGACGCCCCCUGCUCCUCUCUCUACCGAGCUCCCAUUCUCCACGGCGUUUGGCAGCAGAGAGCCCUUCUCCCCAGCAGGAGCAGGGCCUCCAUGGCGUCCGACCCCUCUCCUUUCUCCUCCCCGCUCGGAGCUCUGCCAUAGCGCACACAAAUCCCUUCCCCCUCCAUUCCUAGGCGCAGGAAGUUCUCCCCCACGCCGUCCAGCUCCAGGCCGGAUCCAAUUCGUGCUAUCCCUGCUCGUCCAGAAUUUCUUGCCCCAAGUCCGGCAAUCCCCUCGCCGUGGAUUUCCUCGAGCUUGCCUCCCCAUGGUCGCCAACCAUCCUGCCCCCUGCCCCUGGUGCGCUGGGCGCCUAGUGCUCUGACCUCGACGGCCACCCUCCUCUCUGCUCGAGCAAUGCUAGGGACGUGUGGCAAGCCCUUGUUCCCAGCGUCGCGCCCUUGCCUCCAUCAACACUAAGACCCCGGUAGCGCCUGCCAUGGUCGCCGCAGGUCUCUGCUCCUUCCCCAAGCUCGCCCUCAUCUCCCAGGUCGCCACUUUCCUCUCCCUGCCCACAUCAUCGGAUUCUGCUCGCUGCGUGCUUGCCGGCAUGUCCGGGCGUGGCCCUGCAGAUUCAUCAUAGGUACCUCCUCGAACUCCUCCACACUGGUUGUGGACGGCAUUGGUAUCCCUCUGCUCCAGCAGCGUUGCGGCGCCCCGAGCUCCUCCUCCGCGUGCUGCCAUGGUCGGGGUCAGUCUCAUCCGACAACGCCAUGACUUCCACUCCGCUCUGUGGCGAGCAGCCCCUGCACCAUCCAUGCUCGUCGUGUGUUCGAGAGUUCACGCGCAAGUCUCUGCGUGGUGGCCGUGUCGCUGCAAGCUUGUGCCACGCACCCGGGCAUCGUGUCGCACCAAAUAGCAGCAGCAACACACCCUCAAGCCUCGCAUUGAACCUGCUCGACGAAAAGCGCAGCAAGCUGCGUGUCGUUCAUCCCUGCAGCAACACCAUUCUUCACUUCGCGUCAUACAUCGCAUAGCCUUCAUCGCUGCACAUUGUCCGCAUCGGCGCAGCAGCCCUCCCGUUCAUUCUCCACUCCCCUCGUCGCGUGUCAUCAAUCUCGUGCUUGCUGCGCAUCCCAUCCUCGUCGUCGUCAAAACCCUUGCUAGAUGUUGUCGCUGCGCCUCGCGCGACACAUGAUUCGGUGAAACACCUAAAACCGUGGAGGCAUGCGCGACACGAGUCGGCCAGGUUGUUCGCAUUGAGUGAUUCACGAUUUGUUUUAUUUACAUAUUUGGUCGAUGAUGUGCAUGUGUUUAUAUGUGUGUGAAAAUAUAUUUGUAUGAAUGGACGCGUGUAGAGAAGAAAAUAAAGUAGAAAAGAACUCGGAUAUUUUUAUUUUGAUA